GACGAACGCUGGCGGCGUGCUUAACACAUGCAAGUCGAACGGUAAGGCCCUUCGGGUACGACGAGUGGCGAACGGGUGAGUAACACGUGGGUGAUCUGCCCUGCACUUCGGGAUAAGCCUGGGAAACUGGGUCUAAUACCGGAUAGGACCAUGGACUUCACGGUUUGUGGUGGAAAGCUUUUGCGGUGUGGGAUGGGCCCGCGGCCUAUCAGCUUGUUGGUGGGGUAAUGGCCUACCAAGGCGACGACGGGUUAGCCGGCCUGAGAGGGUGUCCGGCCACACUGGGACUGAGAUACGGCCCAGACUCCUACGGGAGGCAGCAGUGGGGAAUAUUGCACAAUGGGCGCAAGCCUGAUGCAGCGACGCCGCGUGAGGGAUGACGGCCUUC
rnacentral:rRNA from 1 species